CCAAAGGCCCUUUUCAGGGCCUCCAUCCUUUCAUCUGAGGAGUUG
rfam:Canis lupus familiaris chromosome 35, whole genome shotgun sequence.